rnacentral:rRNA from 1 species
UGAGUGCGAGCGGCUACGGCCGCGAAGUGGGUGAUGUCAAGCUUCCAAGAAAAGCCCUAUACCCGUUAAGGCAUGAUGGCCUGUACCCGAAACCGACACAGGUGGGGUGGUAGAGAAUACCGAGGGGCGCGAGGUAACUCUCUCUAAGGAACUCGGCAAAAUGGCCCCGUAACUUCGGGAGAAGGGGUGCCACCGCAAGGUGGUCGCAGUGAAGAGGCCCAGGCGACUGUUUACCAGAAACACAGGUCUCCGCUAAGUCGCAAGACGAUGUAUGGGGGCUGACGCCUGCCCAGUGCCGGAAGGUUAAGGAAGCUGGUCAGCGCAAGCGAAGCUGGCGACUGAAGCCCCGGUGAACGGCGGCCGUAACUAUAACGGUCCUAAGGUAGCGAAAUUCCUUGUCGGGUAAGUUCCGACCCGCACGAAAGGCGUAACGAUCUGGGCGCUGUCUCGGAGAGAGGCUCGGCGAAAUAGAAUUGUCUGUGAAGAUGCGGACUACGUGCACCCGGACAGAAAGACCCUAUGAAGCUUUACUGUAGCUUGGUAUUGUGCCCGGGCUCUGAAUGCGCAGGAUAGGUGGGAGGCUUUGAUCCAUGGCUUGCGGGUCAUGGUGAGCCAACGGUGAGAUACCACUCUUUCAGAGCUAGGGUUCUAACGGUCACCCGUCAUCCGGGGACCGGACAGUAUCAGGUGGGCAGUUUGACUGGGGCGGUCGCCUCCUAAAAGGUAACGGAGGCGCGCAAAGGUUUGCUCAGGCUGGUUGGAAAUCAGCCGACGAGUGCAAAAGCAGAAGCAAGCUUGACUGUGAGACCUACAAGUCGAACAGGGACGAAAGUCGGCUUUAGUGAUCCGACGGUUCUGAGUGGAAGGGCCGUCGCUCAACGGAUAAAAGUUACUCUAGGAUAACAGGCUGAUCUCCCCCAAGAGUUCACAUCGACGGGGAGGUUUGGCACCUCGGUGUCGGCUCAUCGCAACCUGGGGCUGAAGUCGGUCCCAAGGGUUGGGCUGUUCGCCCAUUAAAGCGGUACGCGAGCUGGGUUCAGAACGUCGUGAGACAGUUCGGUCCAUAUCCGGUGCACGCGCAGGAACAUUGAGAGGAUUUCUCCCUAGUACGAGAGGACCGGGAGGAACGCACCUCUGGUGUGCCAGUUAUCGUGCCAACGGUAAACGCUGGGUAGCCAUGUGCGGAGUGGAUAACCGCUGAAAGCAUCUAAGUGGGAAGCCCACCUCAAGAUGAGUGUUCCCAUGGCAUAAGCCAGUAAGGUCACGGGAAGAACACCCGUUGAUAGGCUCUACGUGGAAGCCGGGUAACCGGUGAAGCGGAGGAGUACUAAUAGACCGAGGGCUUGA